UUUUCGUUGCUUUUAUUAGUAAAAAACAUUAGCCUUUUAAUAUAUCACAUACAAGACAGACACCUAAUCUAAUGGGAGCAAAACUCGAGUGCAAUUUGUCAACAAUGCUCGCAAUGGUGGCAUUUGCUUGCUGCCAAUUUACUUCAGGCAUGUGUCAUAUAUGGAAUAUGUUUGUGCUCGAAAUAAGGUUCGAGUCGGAGAGGAUUUGCUCAAAGAAAAGCCCCAACCGACAACUGACACAAACUUCCGGUGGGUUACACACACACACAUAUAUACAUACACACAUGCGCACCUCGUAAAUAAGCGAUUAUGUGAAAAGACCCGAAACGAUUUCAGGCUGCGGCUGCUGUUUGUCCAGAUUCAUGCAAAAUGUAAGAGGCCAAUAUGCAAACAGCCAACUAUAACUCCAACUACCAACUACCAACAACAAGUCAGCAACAAGGCUAAUAUGGUCCUAGGUGCCUUAAGCCAUGUCUCUAAUCCUGACGUAUGCUGUCCUUUAACUAACUACUUUCCCGAGAGGCAAACAACUAAAUGCACCUGGCUCAGUUACUCAGUCACUAUCCUUACACUCAGAAAAAUAAAUCGAAUAGAAUUU